UUAAGCGACUAAGCGUACACGGUGGAUGCCCUGGCAGUCAGAGGCGAUGAAGGACGUGCUAAUCUGCGAAAAGCGUCGGUAAGGUGAUAUGAACCGUUAUAACCGGCGAUGUCCGAAUGGGGAAACCCAGUGUGAUUCGUCACACUAUCGUUAACUGAAUACAUAGGUUAACGAGGCGAACCGGGGGAACUGAAACAUCUAAGUACCCCGAGGAAAAGAAAUCAACCGAGAUUCCCCCAGUAGCGGCGAGCGAACGGGGAGCAGCCCAGAGUCUGAAUCAGCUUGUGUGUUAGUGGAACGGUCUGGAAAGUCCGACGGUACAGGGUGAUAGUCCCGUACACCAAAAUGCACAGGUUGUGAACUCGAAGAGUAGGGCGGGACACGUGGUAUCCUGUCUGAAUAUGGGGGGACCAUCCUCCAAGGCUAAAUACUCCUGACUGACCGAUAGUGAACCAGUACCGUGAGGGAAAGGCGAAAAGAACCCCGGCGAGGGGAGUGAAAAAGAACCUGAAACCGUGUACGUACAAGCAGUGGGAGCACCUUCGGGUGUGACUGCGUACCUUUUGUAUAAUGGGUCAGCGACUUAUAUUCUGUAGCAAGGUUAACCGUAUAGGGGAGCCGCAGGGAAACCGAGUCUUAACUGGGCGUUAAGUUGCAGGGUAUAGACCCGAAACCCGGUGAUCUAGCCAUGGGCAGGUUGAAGGUUGGGUAACACUAACUGGAGGACCGAACCGACUAAUGUUGAAAAAUUAGCGGAUGACUUGUGGCUGGGGGUGAAAGGCCAAUCAAACCGGGAGAUAGCUGGUUCUCCCCGAAAGCUAUUUAGGUAGCGCCUCGUGAACUCAUCUUCGGGGGUAGAGCACUGUUUCGGCUAGGGGGUCAUCCCGACUUACCAACCCGAUGCAAACUACGAAUACCGAAGAAUGUUAUCACGGGAGACACACGGCGGGUGCUAACGUCCGUCGUGAAGAGGGAAACAACCCAGACCGCCAGCUAAGGUCCCAAAGUCAUGGUUAAGUGGGAAACGAUGUGGGAAGGCACAGACAGCCAGGAUGUUGGCUUAGAAGCAGCCAUCAUUUAAAGAAAGCGUAAUAGCUCACUGGUCGAGUCGGCCUGCGCGGAAGAUGUAACGGGGCUAAACCAUGCACCGAAGCUGCGGCAGCGACACUAUGUGUUGUUGGGUAGGGGAGCGUUCUGUAAGCCUGCGAAGGUGACCUGUGAGGGUUGCUGGAGGUAUCAGAAGUGCGAAUGCUGACAUAAGUAACGAUAAAGCGGGUGAAAAGCCCGCUCGCCGGAAGACCAAGGGUUCCUGUCCAACGUUAAUCGGGGCAGGGUGAGUCGACCCCUAAGGCGAGGCCGAAAGGCGUAGUCGAUGGGAAACAGGUUAAUAUUCCUGUACUUGGUGUUACUGCGAAGGGGGGACGGAGAAGGCUAUGUUAGCCGGGCGACGGUUGUCCCGGUUUAAGCAUGUAGGCUGGUUAUCCAGGCAAAUCCGGAUAAUCAAGGCUGAGGUGUGAUGACGAGGCACUACGGUGCUGAAGUAACAAAUGCCCUGCUUCCAGGAAAAGCCUCUAAGCAUCAGGUAACAUCAAAUCGUACCCCAAACCGACACAGGUGGUCAGGUAGAGAAUACCAAGGCGCUUGAGAGAACUCGGGUGAAGGAACUAGGCAAAAUGGUGCCGUAACUUCGGGAGAAGGCACGCUGGUGUGUAGGUGAAGUCCCUGCGGAUGGAGCUGAGACCAGUCGAAGAUACCAGCUGGCUGCAACUGUUUAUUAAAAACACAGCACUGUGCAAACACGAAAGUGGACGUAUACGGUGUGACGCCUGCCCGGUGCCGGAAGGUUAAUUGAUGGGGUUAUCCGUAAGGAGAAGCUCUUGAUCGAAGCCCCGGUAAACGGCGGCCGUAACUAUAACGGUCCUAAGGUAGCGAAAUUCCUUGUCGGGUAAGUUCCGACCUGCACGAAUGGCGUAAUGAUGGCCAGGCUGUCUCCACCCGAGACUCAGUGAAAUUGAACUCGCUGUGAAGAUGCAGUGUACCCGCGGCAAGACGGAAAGACCCCGUGAACCUUUACUAUAGCUUGACACUGAACAUUGAGCCUUGAUGUGUAGGAUAGGUGGGAGGCUUUGAAGCGUGGACGCCAGUCUGCGUGGAGCCAACCUUGAAAUACCACCCUUUAAUGUUUGAUGUUCUAACGUUGGCCCCUGACCGGGGUUGCGGACAGUGUCUGGUGGGUAGUUUGACUGGGGCGGUCUCCUCCCAAAGCGUAACGGAGGAGCACGAAGGUUAGCUAAUCCUGGUCGGACAUCAGGAGGUUAGUGCAAUGGCAUAAGCUAGCUUGACUGCGAGCGUGACGGCGCGAGCAGGUGCGAAAGCAGGUCAUAGUGAUCCGGUGGUUCUGAAUGGAAGGGCCAUCGCUCAACGGAUAAAAGGUACUCCGGGGAUAACAGGCUGAUACCGCCCAAGAGUUCAUAUCGACGGCGGUGUUUGGCACCUCGAUGUCGGCUCAUCACAUCCUGGGGCUGAAGUAGGUCCCAAGGGUAUGGCUGUUCGCCAUUUAAAGUGGUACGCGAGCUGGGUUUAGAACGUCGUGAGACAGUUCGGUCCCUAUCUGCCGUGGGCGCUGGAGAAUUGAGGGGGGCUGCUCCUAGUACGAGAGGACCGGAGUGGACGCAUCACUGGUGUUCGGGUUGUCAUGCCAAUGGCACUGCCCGGUAGCUAAAUGCGGAAGAGAUAAGUGCUGAAAGCAUCUAAGCACGAAACUUGCCCCGAGAUGAGUUCUCCCUGAGACUAUAAGUCUCCUGAAGGAACGUUGAAGACGACGACGUUGAUAGGCCGGGUGUGUAAGCGCAGCGAUGCGUUGAGCUAACCGGUACUAAUGAACCGUGAGGCUUAACCU
rnacentral:rRNA from 1 species